GACGAACGCUGGCGGCGUGCUUAACACAUGCAAGUCGAACGGAAAGGCCCUGCUUUUGUGGGGUGCUCGAGUGGCGAACGGGUGAGUAACACGUGAGUAACCUGCCCUUGACUUUGGGAUAACUUCAGGAAACUGGGGCUAAUACCGGAUAGGAGCUCCUGCUGCAUGGUGGGGGUUGGAAAGUUUCGGCGGUUGGGGAUGGACUCGCGGCUUAUCAGCUUGUUGGUGGGGUAGUGGCUUACCAAGGCUUUGACGGGUAGCCGGCCUGAGAGGGUGACCGGCCACAUUGGGACGGAGAUACGGCCCAGACUCCUACGGGAGGCAGCAGUGGGGAAUAUUGCACAAUGGGCGGAAGCCGGAUGCAGCAACGCCGCGUGCGGGAUGACGGCCUUCGGGUGGUAAACCGCUUUCGCCUGUGACGAAGCGUGAGUGACGGUAAUGGGGAAAGAAGCACCAGCUAACUACGU
rnacentral:rRNA from 1 species